CUUCUCACAUUUUCGUAGCCUUAAGAAUUAGAUUAAUCGAGUUCAAGUGAUGGAGUCUGAGUUUCGCUUUUUGUGUUUGGUUCUGAUUUUCUGUUUGAUGUUUGAUUUCGAUUUCGUCUUUAUUCCUCCUUCUUCGUUCCAUUCCAGAGAAGAGAGAAAAGGACCAUUUAGUGAAUCGUCCGAGUCGUCAAGGAGUUGGUGAAGUUUGAUCAUAUUUUCCCGUCUUCUUCCUCGUUCCAAUCCUCCUUCAAUUCUGGUUUGCUCGUUCCAAUCCUCCUUUGAGCUUCGUUAUUUCUGGAAAUUGUAUCCAUAAAGAAAGGUGCAUGCUUACAGAGGUAUGGACAUAGAGAAUAGUUAAAAUUAGAUAUAUGCAGCGAUAUUUCUUUCUUUCCUUUUUUUUUUUUUAAUUCAUUUCUGUUUAACAUAAUAUUUUUCAUUCAGAACUCAUCUGAGUUUUCCUUUUGCUUUUACUCCUUUUUACAAGUAAGGAUCACUGAAUUGGUCGACAUGAAUGCUUUCUUUUUUAGUCCUGGAUCUAGUGCUUUCCUACAAAUGAAUUUUGUUAGCUGUGCCUUUUUGCCAUUGUGAAGGCAGCAGUCAAACUCUUUGGAGUUAUGCGCUUCUGGAGCAGGACAUGUACAGCUAAAUUUUCUAGUUAUAUUAUAUGCUUGUGUUGGGAUGCAGUGAUUGACUAGAUUAUGAUUUAUGAUGUAUGGAAUUUGACUAAGGGAAAUUUGGACUCAGUUGAAAUACUUUCAAACCAUUGCUCUAAGGCCACAAACUGAUAAUAGAUAGAUGUAGAAUAAUGUUGUACCUGUGUACUUUGAUUUCAAUUGUGCUUCUCUUCCUAUCUCUAUAAGUUCAAGUGGCUAAAAUUUGUUUA